AGUCAGAGGAGUCACCAGCUUCUAAGCACAUGACUCGCAUCGAGCUGAUGUCUAGGAGUAGCUUCGUCUUAUAGACGGGGUAUUCUUCUGCUACCUCUUCCUGUGAUGUAAGGAAUAAACGGAUUCACACCC